UCCCUUCUUUGCAGUUUUACAGUGAGCCCAGGACAAGUGUAUGCAUGGAAUUGGGAUAUCAGCCAUCAAGGUAUGGUCUUCAGGACUACAGCAAGGGACACUGAUUUCUCUUCCCCAUUCUACAAGAUAGUGGACUUUUUUUUAUCAAUGUCAUGUUUUCCCAAGACAUCUCGUUUUAAGGGUCACUACGCAUACUGCAAAUGCAAGGAAAGACUUGGUGUCCAUGUGAAGAACCUUUGCACUUGUCAUGGCAUGAGCAACAAUAUUAACAAACUUUCUGAACAAAGAUAAGUCCUUAUCGUAUGAUACCCAUGGCUUUCUUCCAAAGGAUGUUGACCACUUCUCUUAUUGUCUGAUCUAAAACCAUAUGAAAUUUUA